GAUGGAGGCACUAUGGAAGAGAAGCAAGCAAGAAACCUUAAACUAGAUGAUAGGGCCGGAAGUAACAAAUAAAACUGGAGAAAAGGGAUUGAGAGAUGAUGAGGAGAGAUGAUGGAGGAUAUAAAGUUGAAGAGAAAAAUGAUUGAGAGGAUCUGCAAAUCCAUCAUAAAAAAGAAUUGUUUGGGUGUUAAUCUAUUAGAAAUUAGAGGAUCUACAAAUCUACUAAGGUGUU
rnacentral:lncRNA from 1 species